UAUAAUUUUCAAUAAGUUUGGAGAGUUUCUGGCCAUUAUUUCUUGAAAUGGUUUUCUGUUACCUUCCCUUUCUCUCCUUUAGGGAGUCCAGUUGCCCAUGUUUUAGGCUGUUUGAAGUUGACCAAUAAUUCACUGAUGCUGUUUUCCUUUUUUGCCUUUUUUGGGUAGCUUCCAUUGCUAUGCCUUCAAAUUCACUAAUCUUUUCUUCUGCAGUUUCUAAUAUGCUGUCAAUCCCAUUCAGUGCAUGUAUGUUUUUUUCUUUGUUUGUCUCUGACAUUGUAGUUUUCAUCUCCACAAGUUAGAAUUUGGUCUUCUUUUCAUAUUUCUAUUUCUCUACUUGUCGAACUGGAAUACAGUUAUAGUAACUAUUUUAAAGUCCUUCUCUUAUAAUUCCAACAUCUGUGUCAAUUCUGGGUUAGUUUUAAUUGAUUGAUUAUUUUCCUUAUUAUGUUUUCCUAUUUCUUUGCAUUCCUGGUAAACUUUGGUUGUAUGCUAGACAUUGUGAAUUUUUUAUCUUGUUGGGUGAUAGCUGUUUUUGUAUUCACAUAAUUAUUCUUGAGUUAUGUUUUGGGAUGCAGUUAAGUUACUUGGAAACAGUUUGAUCCUUUUGGCCCUUGCUUUUGUGGUUUGUUUGGUGAAUUUGUUAGUAUUUAGUCUAGGACUAAUUAUUUCCUUCUACUGAGGCAAGAUCAUCCUGAGUACUAUACCCAGAGCCCUGUGAAUUACGAGUUUUUCCAGUCUACAUAGUGGGAACAGGCACUAUUCCUGGUUCUGUGUCAGUGAGAGGUACAGUUCCCUUUAAUCCUUUCAGAUGACUCUUUUCCUGGCCUUAGAUGCUGUUUUCAUAUGGACACACUUAUGAGUACUCUGCUAAAUACUUGAAAGGGACCCUUUUUAGAUCUCUGGGGCUCUCUCCUUUCUGGUAUUCUGAGUAUGAACUUCAGCUGCCCAGGCUCUACUUCAGGUCCCCGUCCCUGUGCUACAGGCUGGAAACUCUCUCAAGGCAGUAUGUUGGGACAACUGUAUGACUCACCUUGUUUGUUUUCCAUUUCUCAAGGUCAAAGUCUUUUCUUGUCUGAUUUCAAGGUCUUGAAAAUUGUUGUUUCAUGUAUUUUGCCCACUUUCGGGGAUAGGGUUGUUUCAGGUGAGUGGGUAAACACAGUCUCUGUUAGUACUUGUCUUAGGUUGGGUUCUCUAGAGAAGCAAAGCCAGUAAAGUGUAUAAAUAUAUAUACAGAGAGAUAUUUAUAUCAAGGAAAUGGCUCGAGUGGUUGUAGAGGCUGGAAGGUCCCAAGUCCAUGGAUCAGGAUAGAGGCUUCUCCUAAUUCACAUAGCUGCAGCGUUGCUGAACCCAGGAUCGGCAGACUGGAGAACAAGGCUCUUGCUCACAGGCUGUGAAGAUUGACGAAUCCCAAGAUUGGCAGGCAGGACUGCAGGUAAGCUGCUAGCUCAAGUCCCAAGGACUGGAGGUCAGACUAACAGGAGCCAGCUGUAGGAUCCAAAAUGAGAAAAAGCCUCCAAACCUUGCCAGAAUGUUUGCUUAUAUUCUGAUGCAGGCCCCAUGCCCCAGGCAAAUCUCUUUCAAGAGAUUGGCUACUCGUAGCAGAUCCCAUCAUAGAAGCUAUCACCUAUUAAGUCUCAACAGGGAAAUGAUCACACAUUAUACCACUGCCAAAACACUGAGAAUCAUGGCCCAGACAGUUGACACACAAUCUUAACCACCACAAUACUUUAAAGAGAUCUUUUGCAGCAGAUUUGCCCAACACAGUAUGUCAUUUGAUUUCUUGACUGCUGCUUGCAUGAGCGUAGAUUUUGAAUCCAAGGAAAAUUAAAUCCUGGACAACUUCAAUCUUUUCUCCUUUUAUCGUGAUGUUACUUAUUGGUCCAGUUAUGAGGAUUUUUGUUUUCUUUAUAUUGAGAUAUAAUUCAUACUGAAGGCUGUAGCCUUUGAUCUUCAUCAGUAAGUGAUUCAAGUCCUCUUCACUUUCAGCAAGCAAAGUUUUGUCAUCUGCAUAUCACAGGUUGUUAAUGAGUGUUACUCCAAUCCUGAUGCCCUGUUCUUCCUCAUAUAGUCCAGAUUCUCAGAUUAUUUUCUCAGCAUAGAUUGAAUAAGUGUGGUGAAAUGACAUACUCCUGACACACACCUUCCCUGAUUUUAAACCACGCAGUAUCCCCUUGUUCUGUUCAAAUGGCUGCCUCUUGGUCUAUGUACAGAUUGCUCAUGAGAACAAUUAAGUGUUCUCAAAUUCCCAUUCUUCACAAUGUUAUCCAGAAUUUGUUAUGACCAAUACAGUGAAAUGCCUUUGCUUAGUCAACAAAACACCAGUAAACAUCCUUCUUGUAUUCCCUGCUUUCAGCCAAAAUUCACCUGACAUCAGCACUGAUAUCCCUCAUACCACAUCCUCUUCUGAAUCUGGCUUGAAUUUCUGGUAGUUCCUUGUCGAAGUACUGUUUCAACUGUGUUUUAAUUAUCUUCAGCAAAGGUUUACUUGGUGUGUGAUAUUAAUGAUAUUUUUUUGAUAAUUUCUGCAUUCUGAUGGAUCAGAUUUCUUUGGAAUGGGCACAAAUAUGGAUCUAUUUUAGUCAGUUGACCAGGUAUCUGUCUUCCAAAUUUCUUGGCAUAGAUGAGUGGGCACUUUCAGUAUUGCAUCCGUUUGUGGAAACGUAUAAAUUGGUAUUCCAUCAGUUCCUAGAGCUUUGCAUUUCACCAAUGCCUUCAGUGCAGCAUGAACUUCUUCCCUCAGUACCAAUGGUUCUUGAUCAUAUGCUACCGCUUGAUAUGGUUGAAUGUCGAUAAAUUCUUUUUGGUACAGUGACUCUGUGGAUUGCUUCCAUCUUCUUUUGUUGCUUCCCAUGUUGUUCAAUAUUUUGCCCAUAGAAUUCUUCAAUAUUGCAACUUGAGGCCUGAAUUUUUUUUUCAGUUCUUUCAGCUUGAGAAAAGCCAAGUGUAUUCUUCCCUUUUGGUUUUCUAACUCCAGGUCUUUGGAAUUUCAUUAUAAUACUUUACUUUGUCUUCUCGAGCAGCCCUUUCAAAUCUUCCAUUCAGCUCUUUUACUUAGUCAUUUCUUCCAUUCGCCUUAAGCUACUCUAAAUUCAAGAGCAAGUUUCAGAGUCUCUUCUGACAUCCAUUUUGCUCUUUUCUUUCUUUCCUGUCUUUUUAAUGACCUUUUGCUUUCUUCAUGUAUGAUGGCCUUGAUGUCAUCCCACAACUCAUCUGAUCUUUGGUCAUUAGUGUUCAAUGCAUCAAAUCUAAUCUUGAGACUGUCUCUAAAUUCAGGUGGGAUAUACUUAAGGUCGUAUUUUGGGUCUCAUGGACUUGUUUUAAUUUUGUUUAGCUUCAACUUGAACUUGCGUGUGAGCAAUUGAUGGUCUGUUCCACAGUAGGCCCCUGGCCUUGUUUUGACUGAUGAUAGUGAGCUUCUCCAUCAUCUCUUUCCACAGAUGUAGUCGAUUUGAUUCCUGUGUAUUCCAUCUGGUGAGAUCCAUGUGUAUAGUCACUGUUUAUGUUGUUGAAAAAAGGUAUUUCCAAUGACUGGACUGUUGGUCUAGCAACAUUCUAUCAUUCUGUCCCCCACAUCAUUUCUAUCACCAAGACUAAAAUUUUCAGCUACUGAUCCUUCUUCUUUGUUUCCAACUUUCAUAUUCCAAUCACCGGUAAUUAUCAGUGCAUCUUGAUGUCACAUUUGAUCAGUUUCAGAAUGCAAGAGUUGAUAAAAAUCUUCAAUUUCUUCAUCUUUGGCAUUAGUGGUUGGUAUAUAAAUUUGAAUAAUAAUCAUAUCAACUGGUUUAUGGGUAUUAUCCUAUCACUGACAGCAUUUUACUUCAGCAUAGCUCUUACAAUGUUCUUUUGGACAAUGAAUGCUAAACCAUUCCUCCUGAAUUUGUCAUUCCCAGCGUAGUAGACCAUAGGAUUCCUCUACUAUAUUCGUAAUUACUUUUUACAACAGGAAAAUAUGAGUACUAAAAAAAAUACUUGGUCACAAAAGUAUUCAUUGAGUGCCACCUGUGUGCUGUCCAUUUCAAAGUGGUAGAGUAGUAACACCAAUAUUUACCACACACCUACUUGGAACUGAGUAAUUUACCUGUAUUAAGUCACUUAAUUUUUACAGCAUCGUAGAGCUGCACUGUCUCACAUGGUAGCUACUACCCACAUGUGAUUAUGGAGCAGUUGAAAUCUGGCUAGUCUGAACUGAGAUGUGCUGUAGGCAUAAAGGAAACCCUGGUGGCAUAGUGGCUAAGUGCUACAGCUGCUAACCAAAAGGUCGGCAGUUUGAAUCUACCAGGAGCUCCUUGGAAAUUCUGUGGGGCAGCUCUACUCUGUCCUAUAGGGUCGCUAUUAGUCAGAAUUGACUUGAUGGUAACAGGUUUGGUUUUAGGGUUUUUUUUAAAGGUAUAAAAUACAUGCUGAUUUUGAAGAUUUAUUUCUUAGUUACCUAGUGUUUCUGUAACAAAAAAUACCAAAAGUGGGUGGCUUUAAGGACCAGAAAUUUAUUUUUUCACAAUUCAGGAGGCUAGAAGUUUACAUUCAGGGGAUCAGCUCUUGGGGGAGGUCCUUUUUCAACUCUUUCAACUUCUAGAAGGUGUCGGCAUCCUUGGUUAUCCUGGGCUUGUAAAUGUAUCUCUAUCUGUUGUCACAUAGCAUCUGCUAUGUGUAUGUCUCUAUGUUUAGUCUGCUCUUUUUAUAAGACACCUCUCAAAAGUGCUUAGGUUUAGGAUACACCCUACUCUGGAAUGGCCUCAUUAGCAUAACAGAAGAAAAUUAUUCUUAAACGGGGUCCUAUUCACAGGUACAAGGGUCAGGACUUCAACACAUAUUUUUGGGGGACACAAUUCAAUCCACGACAACUUAGUAUUAGAAAAACAAACGUAAAAUAGCCCAUUGAUUUUUUACUUGAUUAUUUGUUGAAAUUACAGUAUUUCAGAUAUCUUAGGCUAAAUAAAAUUUUUAAAAAUUAAUUUCACCUGUUUCUUUUUCCUCUUUAUCAUAUGAGUACUAAAAUUUUUAAAAAUUACAUAUGCAGUUUAUAUUUGUGGCUCAUAUUAUAUUUCUAUUGGACAGUGCUGGCCUAGAAGGUUGUUGUUGCUCUUAGGUGCCAUCAAAUUGGUUCUGACUCAUGGUGACCCUAUGUACAACUGAAAGAAACACUGCCCAGUCUUGCGCCAUCCUCACAAUCAAUGCUAUAUUUGAUCUCAUUGUUGCAGCCACCAUGUCAAUCCAUCUUAUUAAAGGCCUUCCUCUUUUUUGUUGACUCUCUAUUUUACUAAGCAGGAUGUCCUAAAAGGUAGGUGUUGCCAUCUGCUCAUUUUUCAGAUGAAGAAACUGAGGGGCUAAGUAACCUGCCAGAGUCAUAGAGCAGUAAGUGAUGAGGGCAGGGUUGACAGCCAAGCCUACUGACUCUACCUCAUCACCUGCUUCCCUUUCUGUCCUCCUAAAUCCUCUAAUCCGCAUUAGUCAGACCAGUGUUAUGUGCUCAAGACAAGCAGUGAGCAUGGACCUCGACAUGGACUCUCUGACUCAAAUAUUUGUUAUUAGGUUUUGUUUUCUUGUUGUUGUUAGCUGUCAUUGAGUCAGCUCAUGGUGACCCCAUGCACAAUGGAAUGAAAUACUGCCCAGCCCUGCACCAUCCCCGUGAUCGGUUGAAGAUCAGACCACUGUGAUCCACAGGGUUUUCACUGGUUGAUUUUCAGAAGUAGAUCACCAGGCCUUUCUUCCUAGUCCGUCUUAGCCAGGAAGCUGUGCUGAAAUCUGUUCAGCAUCAUAGAAACAUGCAAGCCAGACUUGCAAGACAGACAGGUGGUGGUGACUGCCCAUGGGGUGCACUGGGUGGGAAUCAAAGCCAAAUCUUCUGCAUGAAAGGGGAGAAUUCUACCACUAAACCCCCAUAAACACAUGUUUGGAAACAUAUUAUGUAGAAGGCAUGGUAUAAGGUACAACUACUCUUGCUAGGCCCUGUUCAAGUGACUAUGAUGAUGAUGACAGCUAGCAUUUACUGAGUGCUCACCAUUUUCCAGGCAUCGUGCUAGGCACUUUAUGUGCUGUCUUAGUCAUCUAGUGCUGCUAUAACAGAAAUACCACAAGUGGAUGGCUUUAACAAAGAGAAGUUUAUUCUCUGAUGGUCCAGUAGGCUAGAAGUCCAAAUUCAGGGCACAGGCUCCAGGGGAAAGCUUUCUCUCUCUGUCAACUCUGGAGGAAGGUCCUUGUCAUCAGUCUUCCCUUGGUUUGGGAACAUCUCAAUGCAGGAACCAAAGGACACACUCUGCUUCUGGCACUGCUUCCUUGGUGGUAUGAGGUCCCCUCAUUUCUCUGCUGGGUUGUCUCUCUUAUAUCUCAAGAGCAAUUGGCUUAAAUUGGCUUAAGACACUAUCUAAUCUUGUAGAUCUCAUCAAUAUAACUGCCACUAAUCUAUCUCAUCACAUCAUAAUCCAUCUCAUUACAUCAUAGUGAUAGGAUUUACAGCACAUAGGGAAAUCACAUCAGAUGACAAAUGGUAGACAAUCAUACAAUACUGGGAAUCAUGACCUAGCCAAGUUGAGAGAUAUUUUGGGGCGACACAAUUCAACCCAUGACAUAAGCACUACCUCAUUUAACCCUCACACCAAUCGCAUGAGAUUAUUAUUCUUAGUACUAAUUUACUGAUGAGGGAACCGAGACUAGGAGAAGAGAAAUCCUUUGCUCUGGGUUAUACAUACAGCCAGUAUGUGGCACAGCCAGGGCUCAAACCCAGCUUUGCCUGAGUUGAGAGUUUGUCCUGUUAAGCCUCCCUUGCCAAACCUAGUCUUAGUGGCGAAAGGCAAUAUACAUAGUCAGGUCACCAUUACACAGUGUGGAAGGUGACAGGUGACCUAGUAUGAGGCCAGAAUAGAGUGGACUAGGUCCACAAGGGAAAUGAGAGAGAAUUUGGAGAACUAAACGAAUCACACAUCCUGGUCAAAUCAUGAGACGGAGUGACUUCAGGCUAGGAAAAGACUCAGCCACAACCUGAGGAAUGUGCUAACAGGAGAAAGAAUGUGUCGGUGAGAGGGGAGGCUGGGCAGAGUGGGAUAUAUGUCUCCUGGGACUGAGAAGUGGAGCUUGAAGAUCGCCUGUGUUUGACUUAAUAGAUUGACAAGCCUAUUAACUUUGCUCACCUUCCUGUGUGGAUUCCCUCCAAACCGGACAACAAGUUGGCUUCCUGGUGAUUUGCAUCUGGGGAGAAAAUUCUGGACAGUGUGAUCCUCGUGUUUCUCGUGGAAAUUGAGUGAGCCGUAGUUUUAGAGAGUUUACUGGUCUCACCUGCUUGGUAUUCGGCCUCGUUCCUGAACUCUUCCCUUUUGGCUUUGUCCCUGUAUAUCUCAGACUAGCUCCGGGUCUGGAUCUUUCUAGAGCGGCUGCUUCUGUUCUCCAGGUGCCACCGCAGUGGCCCCAGACAAGUGACGCUACAAGCAGUGCCCAGCUGCAGGGCUCCCUGCCCGGUGCUCUUCCUGCCCCCACCUGCUGGCAGGAAAUCGGAUAGCAUGGGCCUUUGACUUGAUUCGAGGGGUUACUUUCUGCUUUUUUCCUCUGGCUUUUGAAGGUAUAAUAAAUGUACUAAGGUAGUCUAUAAAGGUAUAAUAAAUAAUGGAGAUCAUUUUUAUUUGUUUUAUUUUGGGGAGUAUCUGCUUUAAAAAAAAAAAAAAAAGUCAGCCUCUUCCUACUUUUUUCGUUUGAUGUGAAUCAAGUCUUCAUUAUCUUCUAGAGAAUUCCCAAAAUCGAGAUUUUGGACUUGACAAGCCUUAGUUUCCUCAUCUGUAAAGUAGGAAUAUGUGCAAAGAUGAGAUGAGAUAUUGAAAGAAAAGUGCUUGUAAAUGCUCAAUGAGUAUUGGGGAUCAUAACCUACAAAUCCGCCAAGACCUUCCUGUUCCUUGAGAUGUAGGUAAGGUGGACUUGAGCCUCAUGUCCCAGGCCUGCAGUGGUCUGAAGCCGUCCCCAAGCGGAAUUUCCAGGACCAUGUGUGACCUCACAGGCGCCUUUGCCUCUGGGCUUCUGUUUUCAAACAUGUGUUUUCUGUUCCGUGCCAUGGGUGACAAUCUCAGUUCUUCCCUUAAUUUCCACCAAAACCAAAACAGAAACAAAGCUUAAAAAUAAGCCCUUCCCUUCCGCCCUUCCCCCCCCACCGCCCGCAUAAAACAUCCACGAGUAUGAUCAACUUUACUGAAAAUGAAGUACUGAGAUGAAGGGCCAUACUGUACCCCUCGGUGCCCAUACACCUGAACUUUCCCAGUGAUAUUCUUGUGUUUUACCGUCACAUCCGUUACCUUACUGUGGGGGUCCCUUGUUGACGCUUCACCCCAAAAGUGAGGAGCCAUCUCUCUGGCUCCUUCUCCCCUCUCUCCCUUCCUCGUUGUUCUCUCUUUUCCCUCCCUCUCUGUCUCCUUCUUAACCAUUCAGGUGUCUGCUCAAAUGUCACCUUCUCACACAAGUCAUCUCUACCACAUUUUAUAGAGGUGCCUCCUUUCUUUCCCACCAGUCACUCUCUAUUACUUUAUUUCAUGUUAUUUUCCCUAUAACACUUAUGGCUAACUGAAAUCGUGUAUGUAUUUGUUUGCCCAAUUAUUGAUUGCCCAUCUUCCCCCACUAGAAGAUAACCUUCACAGGAGCAGAGCUCUUGUCUGUCUGCAAGCUUUUGCACACCCACCUUCAUAGCACUGAACAGGGGUGUCUAACUUUCAGCUUUAAGCUAUUUGUCAGUGUAACUCCCCUCUACAUGAUCCCUCUUUUCUGAGUUUAGACCUUCAGCAAAGUGGGAUACAUGCCGCCUUGGUUAUCUAGUGCUGCUAUAACAGAAACACCACAAGUGGAUGGCUUUAGCAAAGAGAAAUUUAUUCUCUCACAGUCUAGGAGGCUAGAAGGCCUAAUUUACGGUGCUAGCUCCAGGGGAAGGCCUUCUUUCUCUGUCGGCUCUGGAGGAAAGGCCUUGUCAUCAAUCUUCCCCUGGUCUAGGAGCUUGUCUGCUCAAGAACCUCGGGUUCAAAGGACUCGCUCUGCUCCUGGCACUGCUUUCUUGGUGGUGUGAGGUCCCCAUGUCUCUCUGCCCAUUUCUCUCUUUUAUAUCUCAAAAGAGAUUGACUUAAGACACAACUUAAUCUUAUAGAUUGAGUCCUGCCUCAUUAACAUAACUGCUACUAAUCCCACCUCAUUAACAUCGUAGAGAUAGGAUUUGCAACACAAAGAAAAUCACAUCAGAAGACAAAAUGGUGGGCAGUCACACAAUACUGGGAAUCACGGCCUCGCUAAAUUGAUACAUAUUUUGGGAGGACAUGAUUCAGUCCAUAACACAUGCACAGCCUUUGGUUGGUGGCGUUUUGGGGGAAUGAAGAAAGUGGAGGGUUGGCCAGUGGGGUACACGGUGCAGAAAAGGGACGGCAUGAACUGGAUGCAAAACCAGGAGCAACGAGUAAGGCUCUAGCGGAAGAAAUAAGGCAGAUCUCGAUGUAACUCUGGGAAACCUUAGCCCCCUCCAGAAUUCUUGGAGCUUUGGGGCAUGAUCCUCAUUCCCCCAUACUUGGGCUGGGAAGCACAAGGUAACCCCAGACAGCUGGAUGCCUUAGGGACACCUAAGAAGCUGAUAUAUGGGUGACAUUUUUCCUUAAGAGGACACCCAGGGUCAACGUCACAGGGGGAUACAGGCAUGGGGGAGGGGGCUUGGAAGACAGUUGAUACCACUAUUUGGGGCAGCUGGAAACUUGGGGUCCUGGUUUCCCUUGAAUUCCAGCCUGGAGGAUUCUGGGGCUGGCCAACCUGGGGAAGGAGGUGGAGUAAGCCUGAGCAGGAGGUAGAGAGCCUUUUCCAGGGGGGUCAGCAGAUGGCGCCCUAAUCCAAGUACUGCAAGGCCAGGCGAGCAAAGAGGGAGUUUGUUCUCCAGGAAAUGACUCACCAGGGAUGACUUCACCAGUUGGGUGUUCUUCACUAGGUUUGGUGGGGUGAGAACCAGGAGGACUGUAUCACCUCAUUGUAACUGUUCGCAGCAUGAUUAAUGGGUGCAGUUGCGGGUGGUCUUCUUGACUCAUUCAUUCAUUCACCAACAUCCUAAUGAAUGCCUACAAGGUGCACAACAUUAUACCUGAUCCUACAGCGACAAUGAGAACAUUCCCUCAGAGGGACUCUGCUCUGUUCCGCUAUGAGUUUGGGCUGUGACGUGGGAGGGUGGGAGUGAGGACUGAAGACUGAUAUCAGAGCACGGAAGAUGGGGGAUGCGAAUGACACAAUGGAGAACACUCCAGUCCAGCCCAAGGUUUUAUCUCAUACUCUCUCCCUCUUCGGAAAUUGGGCAAUAGUUAUCAGCUAUACCAUAUUGCUGGCAUUUAUUACAAACUCCCGUAUAGUCUGAUAAGUUAUAUUUUAUCUACCCUAUGAGCUGAAUGAUAAACUUCUCUAGGUCAGGAAUUACGUCUUACUCAUCACUAUUAUCUCCCCACUUCCCACUCCAACCCCUGCUUCCGCAGUACCCAGCACAGUCCCUGGAAUGUAGAGGUGUUCUAAAAGAUCUGGCAAGGAUGACGAAUCCGUGGGCCCUCUGCAAUGAGGCCCUAGGAAUGUGACCGAAGCCCUGCCUGCAAUCCUGAAUGUCACAGAUACCAAUAAAGAUGUCAGAGGUCACCGAGUCAGGGAGCUGCAGGGGACUGGACCUGAGAUACUGUUGGAAUCCCGGCGGCCAUGCUCCCCAGACCUUCUGUUGGCACAGGACAGGAACCAUCCCCGAAGACAACUCAUCAGACAUGAAAGGGACUGGUCAGCGGGAGGGAGAGAGACGCUGAUGAAGAGUGAGCUAAUUAUAUCAGGUGGACACUUGAGAUUGUGUUGGCAACUCUUGUCUGGAGGGGGGAUGGGAGGAUAGAGAGAGAGAGAGAAGCCGGCAAAAUUGUCACGAAAGGAGAGACUGAAAGGGCUGACUCAAGAGGGGGAGAGCAAGUGGGAGUAGGGAGUGAGAUGUGUGUAAACUUAUAUGUGACAGACUGAUUGGAUUUGUAAACAUUCACUUGAAGCUUAAUAAAAGUUACAAAAAAAAAAAAAAA